rfam:Nicotiana attenuata strain TT chromosome 6, whole genome shotgun sequence.
CAACAGGCUUUGCCCAAUGAAAUACUUAUCGGACAUCAAGAGUCCAGAUAAUUGUUCAUCGGGCAAAGAUUGUUG